UGCGCAGCUACCAUGCAGUCGAGCGGAACGAUGGAGCUUGCUCCAGGCGUCGAGCGGCGGACGGGUGAGUAAUGCAUAGGAAUCUGCCCGGUAGUGGGGGAUAACCUGGGGAAACCCAUGCUAAUACCGCAUACGUCCUACGGGAGAAAGCAGGGGAUCUUCGGACCUUGCGCUAUCGGAUGAGCCUAUGUCGGAUUACCUUGUUGGUGAGGUAAUGGCUCACCAAGGCGACGAUCCGUAACUGGUCUGAGAGGAUGAUCAGCCACAUCGGGACUGAAACACGGCCCGAACUCCUACGGGAGGCAGCAGUGGGGAAUAUUGGACAAUGGGCGAAAGCCUGAUCCAGCCAUGCCGCGUGUGUGAAGAAGGCUUUCGGGUUGUAAAGCACUUUCAGUGAGGAAGAAGGCCUUGGGGCUAAUACCCCCGAGGAAGGACAUCACUCACAGAAGAAGCACCGGCUAACUCCGUGCCAGCAGCCGCGGUAAUACGGACGGUGCGAGCGUUAAUCGGAAUUACUGGGCGUAAAGCGCGCGUAGGCUGCGUGAUAAGCCGGUUGUGAAAGCCCCGGGCUCAACCUGGGAACGGCAUCCGGAACUGUCACGCUAGAGUGCAAGAGAGGAAGGUAGAAUUCCCGGUGUAGCGAUGAAAUGCGUAUAGAUCGUGAGGAAUACCAAUGGCGAAAGCUGCCUUCUGGACUGACACUGACACUCAAGUGCCAAAGCCUGGGUUGCAAACAGGAUUAGAUACCCUGGUAGUCCACCCCGUAAACGAUGUCCACUAGCCCUUGGGGUCCUUGAGACCUUUGUGGCGCAAUUAACGCUAUAACUCCACCGCCUGGGGAGUACGGCCCAAGGUUCAACUCAAUGAAUUGACGGGGGCCGCACAUCGGUGGAUCAGUGGUUCAUUCCAUGCAACGGAAAAACCUUACUAUCCUUGACAUCGUGGGAACUUUCCAAGAUGGAUGGUGCCUUCGGUACCACAGACAGGAGCUCCAUGCUGUCCCAACUCCGGUUGGAAAUGUUGGUUAAGUCCUUAACAGGGCAUUCUUGUUCUUUUUGCCAGGGAUCCGCCUGGAACUUAUGGGAACUGCCGUUAGGAUCGGAGUCUGCAACUCGACUCCGUGAAGUCGGAAUCGCUAGUAAUCGUGAAUCAGAAUGUCACGGUGAAUACGUUCCCGGGCCUUGUACACACCGCCCGUCACACCAUGGGAGUGGACUGCACCAGAAGUGGUUAGCCUAACUCGGAGGCGAUCACCGCGAGUAGUUCAGC
rnacentral:rRNA from 1 species